GGGGGGGGCGGGCGGGGGGCGGGGGGGGUGCGGGGCGGACGGUGGGGCGGGUGGCGGGUGGGGGGGUGGGGGGGGGUGGCGGACGGGUGAGUGACACGUGCGGAACCUGCCCCCUUCUUGUGGAUAACCGCGUGACAGUGUGGCUAAUACGGGAUAUUCUGGGUCUGUCGCAUGAUGGGUCUGGGAAAGAUAUUGUUUCGGUGUGGGCUGGGCUCGCGGCCUAUCAGCUUGUUGGUGGGGUGAUGGCCUACCAAGGCGGUGAGGGGUAUCCGGCCUGAGAGGGUGGACGGUAACACUGGGACUGAGAGACGGACAAGACUCCUACGGGCGGCAGCAGGGGGUAAUAGUGCACAAUGGGCGGAAGCCUGAUGCAGCGACGCCGCGUGAGGGAUGGAGGCCGGCGGGUUGUGAACCUCUUUCGCCAGAGAAGCAGGCCUGCCUCGUUUGUGGGUGGGUUGACGGUAGCUGGAUAAGAAGCGCCGGCUAACUACGUG
rnacentral:rRNA from 1 species